rnacentral:rRNA from 1 species
GAUUAACGCUAGCGGCAGGCCUAAUACAUGCAAGUCGAACGGCAGCACGGGUAACUGAAGGGUAGAUUAGUGGCGAACGGGUGAGGAAUACAUGGACAACGUACCCUGGACACGGGGAUAGCGGCGGGCCGCAAGGCUCUUUAGCGAAAGUGCCGGUAAUACCCGAUGAUCCCGCAUGGUCGCAUGAUCGUGUGGGCAAAGCUCCGACGGUCUGGGAUCGGUUCANGCCCUAUCAGCUAGUUGGUGAGGUAACGGCUCACCAAGGCGGCGACGGGUACCGGGCGUGAGAGCGUGACCCGGCACAUCGGAACUGAGAUACGGUCCGGACACCUACGGGUGGCUGCAGCAACGAAUAUUCCGCAAUGGACGAAAGUCUGACCCAGCCAUGCCGCGUGGAGGAUGAAGGUCCUCUGGAUUGUAAACUUCUUUUAUCUGGGACGAAAAAGGGAAUUCUUUCCCGACUGACGGUACCAGGUGAAUAAGCACCGGCUAACUCCGUGCCA